rnacentral:misc_RNA from 1 species
GCAAACUUGGUCAUUUAGAGGAAGUAAAAGUCGUAACAAGGUUUCCGUAGGUGAACCUGCGGAAGGAUCAUUAUUGAAUUUUUGAUUUUAACAAUCUUAUAUUCUUGUGAACUUUAUAAACUUUGCUUGGGUAAUAGUAUUGGAGACUUUAUUGUUACCCAAAGUUUUUUACAAAAACACUUUAUUAAAAAAAACACCAAAACGAUUCUGAAAAUUUUAAAAAAAUUAAAUUAAAACUUUCAACAACGGAUCUCUUGGUUCUCGCAUCGAUGAAGAACGCAGC